GUUUUGUCUGGGGCUCGUCCUGCUACAUUUCUUGGUUCCCUGAACAGGAAGCGAGGUAACUGACGGACGGCCAAGGCAGCCCCUUGGGUGGCUUAGGCCUGCCCUGUGGAGCAUCCCUGCGGUGGACUCUGGCCAGCCUGAGUGACGCGAUCCAAAGAGCGCUCCCGGGUAGGAAAUUCCCCGGGUGGAACGCCUCGCCAGAGCAGCACGUAGCAGGCCCCCGAGGAGGAUUAACACACUGGCUGAACACUGGGAAGGAACUGGCACUUGGAGUCCGGACAUCUGAAACUUGCAACCCACUCUCUGUGCUAUGACUUCAUUACUCUUUCCCAGCCCAGCCCUGGGCAAGCCCCUUACGAAGUCUCAGGCUACCUGGAUGACCACCCUUUCUUAUGAUGCUGCAAGGAGGGCAGGUGGGCAGAGCCCCGUGCAUCCUGGGCUCAGGCCAGGGACCCAAGAGCUUGGGAGAAGCUGGUUCUCAGACUGAAGGCCAGAGCCCAGCACCUUGUCACCAUCCCGGGGAGCAUCAUGGCACACAACAACCAGAGCCAAGAUUGACAGGCCUCGGAAGUCAAAAUAAGUGGUUUCCUAGACCGGGUCGAGAGCAAGUCUCUAUUGGUCCCAACUGAGUUUUUUCAGCUGGUUUUUCAACCAAACAGCACCUCAUCUCCCAGUGAGGGGAAGGGAAGGCUGGGCUGAGAGCAGCAAGGCUGCUCAUCUCACCUCUCCCCACCCAGCCAUGCCAGCCGCCUCACCUGGUGGGGAGAGGUGGGCCUCACCUGGGUCCCCUGGCAGUGCUCUGUGAAGGGUCUUGACAUUGCACUGUAAUAAUAAAGGUGUGUGUGAAGUAUC
rnacentral:lncRNA from 1 species